AUGUUUAUGUGCAUUUGUUCAGCUUCACAAUUUCCAGCCACAGUGCAAACUUCCCAAAUGCCUUCAGUCAGCUCCUGCCUACCAUCUUCAUGUCUGCAUUUACCUGGAAUACCAAGCAUAACCCUGUUGUCUACUCUGCCACAUGGGAUGUGUUGGACUUGGACAGCACAGAGCCAGUGUGGCUCAGACAUCACCAUCAUGGACUUUACAUGGCCAUUUCAUCCAGUGAGCCUUUCAUGUCAUUUGGGAGGAUGGUAUCAGACAAUGUUGAAAAAUCCUUUGAAUACUAACAAUUUUAGUCAACAGAAGGCCUCAGUGUACAGCAAGUGAAUUACACGUCCUGCCUUGCCCUGUGCUGUUUGUCUUUCAUAGAGGAAGAGUUCAACCCUCCAAUCUCCCACAAGAUCUGGUCCUUACCAGGAGUUAAAUAAAUACAACCAUAGAGCUAUCUUCCCUUUUGCACUUUUUUGUGGUGUUGGAGAUCAAACUCAGGGUAAAUAAGAGCUUUUUUUUUAGAGAUGCAAAGUAAGUGCCUUAAUAAU
rnacentral:lncRNA from 1 species